GGACUACCAGGGUAUCUAAUCCCGUUCGCUCCCCUGGCUUUCGUGUCUCAGCGUCUGCAAACCCCCAGCGAGCUGUUUUCACCAUUGGCGUUCCAGAUGAUAUCUACGCAUUUCACCGCUCCACCAUCUGUUCCGCUCGCCCCUAGGUUGCACAAGAUCGGCAGUAUACCAAGCAGUUCCAUGGUUGAGCCAUGGGAUUUCACAAGGUACUUACCGACCCGCCUACACACGCUUUAAGCCCAGUGAUUCCGCCUAACGCUCGAGACCUCUGUAUUACCGCGGCGGCUGGCAC
rnacentral:rRNA from 1 species